rnacentral:rRNA from 1 species
CAGAAACCCUUUGUGAACUUAUACCUUACUGUUGCCUCGGCGCAUGCUGGCCCCCUCGGGGCCCCCUGGAGACAGGGAGCAGGCACGCCGGCGGCCAAGUUAACUCUUGUUUUUACACUGAAACUCUGAGAAAAAACACAAAUGAAUCAAAACUUUCAACAACGGAUCUCUUGGUUCUGGCAUCGAUGAAGAACGCAGCGAAAUGCGAUAAGUAAUGUGAAUUGCAGAAUUCAGUGAAUCAUCGAAUCUUUGAACGCACAUUGCGCCCUCUGGUAUUCCGGAGGGCAUGCCUGUUCGAGCGUCAUUUCAACCCUCAAGCAUUGCUUGGUGUUGGGGCACUGCCUGUAAAAGGGCAGGCCCUGAAAUCUAGUGGCGAGCUCGCCAGGACCCCGAGCGCAGUAGUUAAACCCUCGCUUUGGAAGGCCCUGGCGGUGCCCUGCCGUUAAACCCCCAACUUCUGAAAAUUUGACCUCGGAUCAGGUAGGAAUACCCGCUGAACUUAAGCAUAUCAAAAGGCGGGAGGAA